CCUACGGGUGGCAGCAGUGGGGAAUUUUCCGCAAUGGGCGAAAGCCUGACGGAGCAAUACCGCGUGAGGGAGGAAGGCUCUUGGGUUGUAAACCUCUUUUCUCAGGGAAGAAAUCAAUGACGGUACCUGAGGAAUAAGCAUCGGCUAACUCCGUGCCAGCAGCCGCGGUAAUACGGAGGAUGCAAGCGUUAUCCGGAAUGAUUGGGCGUAAAGCGUCCGCAGGUGGCAUUGCAAGUCUGCUGUCAAAGGUCAGGGCUUAACCCUGAAAAGGCAGUGGAAACUGAAAUGCUGGAGUGCGGUAGGGGUAGAGGGAAUUCCCGGUGUAGCGGUGAAAUGCGUAGAGAUCGGGAAGAACACCAGUGGCGAAGGCGCUCUACUAGGCCGCAACUGACACUCAUGGACGAAAGCGUGGGGAGCAAACAGGAUUAGAUACCCGAGUAGUC
rnacentral:rRNA from 1 species